GCCAAGAGGUACAUUCUGGACAAAGUACAGAGCACUGUCAAAGAUAUUAUCACAACCCUUAGGAGUGACUGCCACAGAGGACCAUUGGGACCCUGUGGGUACUACACAGGGAGGCGGAAUAGUCUGUUGCAGCUACUUACUAACUCCUCCACCUCCUCAAUCACACGCAGUGGCUUUGACAGCCUGGUCAGAGAUCUUGUCUUCCAUUGUAUGGUUGUGGCAAACUCUUCUCGAAGAGAGUUUCAGAAAAGUGUGGUGUGCCACUGUCGUCACAUCCUGCAGUUCUGGUCGGACAUCAAAAGAAUUUUAAAGUCCUCAGAAGAUCCUGAUGAUUCUGAACAGAGUUUUGAGAAGGCCUGCAAUUUUUUGGUCCAGCAAAUACAAAUGCUUGACACAGCUUUGAUGACUACUGUUCUUUAUCAUGUCUUGGACACAUUUCUGGCAGCAUCGUAUACGCAGGAAGAACUUUUAAGUGUGACAAGGCAGAUCUUGGAUGCAGAUUCUUCCACAAAGCUGGAUCUGAACUUUAUCCAGCCCACAUUGGAGGAUUUCAUAUCUGCCACAGACAAACUAAUCCAAGUGGCAACAUUUAUCUCAGCUGUGGCUGUUGAUGCAAAGAGUCUGGAGAAUGUGGAGAACUCCCGAGUGUGCCUUACCAGACUCAGAGCUCGGAUCGCGCCUCUUUCAUUGGAACUGGCGGAUAACUCAGUGCAAACUGUUCAAAAGCUUCAUGAGGUGUGUCAGAAAUGGGAGGAGGAGACGAGUCAGCUUCAGGAUGCCCUCAGUGAUGUAAUGGAAGUGAGGGAGUUCACUAGCAUUGGUAUCAAUGAGAUGGUCAGAGACCGUCAUGGAUGUGAUGCAGCUUACAGAGAGCAGAGCUACAAGAUGUUCAACGAUCAUUCCUCAGACUUAAUUUGUCACAUGAGGCUGGUAAUCCGCUCAGUGAGGAGACACCUGGACAGAAGCAAUGACCCCAUCUACAGGAAUGGCCUCCUGGUCCUGCUGAAACAGGUUCAGUCAGCUCAAACCAAAGUAGCCGAGUCAGUCAGAGAUAUGCUUAAAGGUUCCCGCCUGAAUGUGGAGGUUUAUUCUUCAUUUUCAGACAAUGUUUCUGCUGUCAUUCAGCAUUUCAAGGUGCUAAGAGAGGGACUGGACGGCCAACAGCAUCCACACCUCCUGAGCCCACUCAGAGAGGGGAUCCGCCAGCCUGAGGUCUCACAGUCAUGUUUACCAGUGAAAGACACCGAAGAACUGAACCUGGGUCAUAUAAUAACGGUGUGUGAUUCUCCUGUUUUUGAUGUUUUGGAGAGGGAUUCUCAUGAGGAGCCCUCAGAUGAGGAAACCAUAGAAGCGGAACUGGCUCAUAAAUAUGACAGAGAAGAUUUAAAGCUCCCAGCUGUCUCAGAUGAGCCUAAACUGAUUCACAACCUUCACGAAUUUGACCUUUUACCCCUCUUGUAUGAAGUUGUGACUGUGACUAAAGGAAAAGAUGUGACAGCACUCAACCAGGCCUGCACUGGUGUUCUCGAGCUGUCAAACUGCUAUGCCCAAGCUGCCAAGGAAGCCACGGCCAUUGUAGAUGCGAUUGACUGUCAGAUGCUGGAGAGCUUCAGGGCAGAGCUGGUGUCACUGACCCCACUGCUCGUCCAGACAGCUCAAGAGACAGCGAUGAGCUCAGCGAUGAGCACAGAGAGCAUUUACAAACACAGCACACAGUUUUCGGACCUUGUCAACAACAUCCGAAAGGUUUUACUGCCAGCAGCUGGAACCUGGUAUCAUGCCGUUUACACUGAGCUGCAGGCCAACCGGUCAUCUACACAGCAGCUGAAUGAAGUGAUGACCUUGUGUGCUGGCAUGAUACAACUCUUGACAUCAUCGGAUUUAUCCUCACAAAGUGACGGUCAAGAGACAUUUGGCAUUUUACACAGUAAGCUGAACAAAGCCCAAAACAACACCAGGUUUCUGGUGGAAUUUUCCACCUCACUGGGAGGACAGGUAGAUCAACUUGAUCAACUUGAGGGUCUUUGUAUCCUCUGGGGUCUCUCUAUUCAGGUGUUACUAAAUUCUCUGGAUAAGAUUUUGCGAACAUCAACAGCAAUGGACCCACUGAGCCCUCAGAAACGGCUCUCAGUGUUGUCUGAGAACUCACUUCGAAUCCAGGAGGCAGCAAGGCUCACCAGCCUGAACUGCAGAAGUGCUUACAAAUCAAAACAGUUAACAGGAUGCCAGGAUGAACUGAAGACACUGACAGAUGCUUACAUUAAAGCUGCAGAGGAACUCAACAUCAUACCAAGUGUGAUGCAACUUGCAAGAUCGGAAUUCCUUCAGAGACAGUUGUUGAUAAAAAUUAGAGUGCUCUCUGGUCAUUUGAGCAAAGCAAAUAAGGACUAUGAUGCUACAUUUCAAAAUAUCAUUAGUAUUGCUCAUUUUGCUGCUGAACACUACAGAGAGGCUGACAUGGAAGACACGGAGCAAAAAUUUGAAACCGCAGCCCAAGUACUUGCAGAAAAUGUCAAAUCUGCCACCAGAAAAGUGGAAGCUUGCUUAAACUACAUCCGUGACCCACGCGCCCGUUCUAAUCUGAGGUCUAUCAACGACCACCUGUCCUUUCAGAUCUCUGAUAUAAUCAGCAGGGCGAGGCUCAUGGUGGAGACUCACUACAUCUGUGACACACUGAGUUUGGAAGUGCAGAUACAGUGCUGGUCGGCUAAGGCUCACUAUGUGGUAGAAGAGAUGAGGAAGCAAGAUGGGAUCCACCAAGAAGCCAAAGAGCACAUCAAGUCUGGGCUACAGGGCAGAACAUGUGAAGACACUGAUAAAGUUUCAGCUAUAAUCCCACCUAAAGUCAAAGAAGUGGAAUUUCCCUCAGAGUCGACAAUCCUGACAUCUGUGCAGAGGGGCAAUACAGAAACUGUACAUAUUGCAGAAACUGAUAUGGCAGCUGUGACCAAAUAUAUACCUGGAUAUGUGGAAAAAGAUGAGGGAGCGGCAGGUGCAUCCAAGGAAGCUUCUUCACUGACCUACACCUCCCUUUUUCUGAAGCAAGAAAGCAACAGCUGGGAUCCAAAAGACAACAGAAUCGUCCAGGUGACCAGGAAGAUGGCGGACACCAUAUGUUACAUGACCCAGUACCUGAAAAAGAAAGGCCCUAUACCGAAUAAAGAGGGUUUUGUCACUGCAGCUAAGGAUGUGAUCUCAAGCUGCCAGUCUGUCACUCAGUUUAUCAGAAUCAUUGCUAACCACAGCCUUGAUAAACAGUGUACAGUAGAACUCUCCCUCAUUGUUGAGCAGAUUCUCACCAUCACCAAUCAGCUCAACAUCAUCUCCAGUGUCAAUGCUGUGACACCUGGGUGCAGGUCAUCUGAUGAGAUUCUGGUGAAGAAUGCUCAAAAUCUGCUUCAGACAGUCCUGCG
rnacentral:lncRNA from 1 species